UCUUUCCCUCACACCCUGUAGAAAACCUUUACCUUUCUUUCUCCUAAACUCCAAGGGUCCUUCUUAUGACUCCAUGUCUUAUUCCCUGACCCCACUUCCUCUAUGUGUGACUAAGUAAAAAAAUUUUUAUGAAAAAUAAAAUAAAAUGUAUGUCAUGUCCUUGUGACUAAGUUGGUUGUAGCACCUUCUUGUACACAGAAAAGCUUGUGGGUUGAUUCUAGAUCAGAGUACUUACCUAGGCCACAGCUUCAAACCCUAGUUCUGGAGCAUGUACAAGGACCCAUUGAUGUUUCUCUUUCACAUCAAUGUUUCUCUCUCUCUCAUCAAUAAGCAUAUCCUUAGGGGGGGAUUUUUUUUAAAUGCACCCCAAAGCAUUCCUGUUAAUCCCUGAACACACCUUAGCAU